UACGAAGGGGGCUAGCGUUGCUCGGAAUCACUGGGUGUAAAGGGUGCGUAGGCGGGUCUUUAAGUCAGGGGUGAAAUCCUGGAGCUCAACUCCAGAACUGCCUUUGAUACUGAGGAUCUUGAGUCCGGGAGAGGUGAGUGGAACUGCGAGUGUAGAGGUGAAAUUCGUAGAUAUUCGCAAGAACACCAGUGGCGAAGGCGGCUCACUGGCCCGGUACUGACGCUGAGGCACGAAAGCGUGGGGAGCAAACAGG
rnacentral:rRNA from 1 species